rnacentral:rRNA from 1 species
CCUACGGGCGGCAGCAGUGGGGAAUAUUGGGCAAUGGGCGCAAGCCUGACCCAGCAACGCCGCGUGAAGGAAGAAGGCUUUCGGGUUGUAAACUUCUUUUUUCAGGGACGAAGCACGUGACGGUACCUGCGGAAUAAGCCACGGCUAACUACGUGCCAGCAGCCGCGGUAAUACGUCGGUGGCAAGCGUUAUCCGGAUUUACUGGGUGUAAAGGGAGUGUAGGCGGGAAAGCAAGUCAGAUGUGAAAACUAUGGGCUCAACCUGUGGCUUGCAUUUGAAACUGGUUUUCUUGAGUACUGGGGAGGCAGACGGAAUUCCUGGUGUAGCGGUGAAAUGCUUAGAUAUUAGGAGGAACACCAGUUGCGAAGGCAGUCUGCUGGACAGCAACUGACGCUGAGGCGCGAAAGCGUGGGUAGCAAACAGGAUUAGAUACCCGUGUAGUC